CAGUAACGGCGAGUGAAGCGGCAACAGCUCAAAUUUGAAAUCUGGCUCCUUCGGGGUCCGAAUUGUAAUUUGUAGAGAGUGCUUCGGGCGAGACCUCGGUCUAAGUCCAUUGGAACAUGGUGUCAUAGAGGGUGAGAAUCCCGUAUGCGACCGUGGCUCGAGCCCAUGUGAAGCCUCUUCGACGAGUCGAGUUGUUUGGGAAUGCAGCUCAAAACGGGUGGUAAAUUUCAUCUAAAGCUAAAUACUGGCUGGAGACCGAUAGCGCACAAGUAGAGUGAUCGAAAGAUGAAAAGCACUUUGGAAAGAGAGUCAAACAGUACGUGAAAUUGUUGAAAGGGAAGCGCUUGCAACCAGACCUGCCCGUAGGCGAUCAGCCGCUGUUCUCAGCGGUGCACUCGCUCUGCGAUCAGGCCAGCAUCGGUUUCGGCGGUCGGAUAAACUUGGGAAUGUAGCUUCCCUUCGGGGGAGUCUUAUAGCCCUCGGUGUAAUGCGGCCAGCCGGGACCGAGGACCGCGCUUCGGCUAGGAUGCUGGCGUAAUGGUUGUAAGCGACCCGUCUUGAAACACGGACCAAGGAGUCUAACAUCUAUGCGAGUGUUUGGGUGUCAAACCCAUACGCGGAAUGAAAGUGAACGGAGGUGAGAACCCUUAAGGGCGCAUCAUCGACCGAUCCAGAUGUCUUCGGAUGGAUUUGAGUAUGAGCAUAGCUGUUGGGACCCGAAAGAUGGUGAACUAUGCCUGAAUAGGGUGAAGCCAGAGGAAACUCUGGUGGAGGCUCGCAGCGGUUCUGACGUGCAAAUCGAUCGUCAAAUUUGGGUAUAGGGGCGAAAGACUAAUC
rnacentral:rRNA from 1 species